rnacentral:rRNA from 1 species
UGUGUGGGGUGGUGGCGUGCCUUUUGAAGAAUGAGCCUGCGAGUUAGUGUUUUGUCGCGAGGUUAACCCGUGUGGGGUAGUCGUAGCGAAAGCGAGUCUGAAUAGGGCGUUGUAGUGGCAGGAUCUAGACCCGAAGCGGAGUGAUCUAUCCAUGGCCAGGUUGAAGCACGUGUAAGAGCGUGUGGAGGACCGAACCCACCUAGGUUGAAAACUGGGGGGAUGAGCUGUGGAUAGGGGUGAAAGGCCAAUCAAACUCUGUGAUAGCUGGUUCUCCCCGAAAUGCAUUUAGGUGCAGCGUUACAUGUUUCUUGCUGGAGGUAGAGCUACUGGAUGGCCGAUGGGCCCGCGAGGGUUACUGACGUUAGCUAAACUCCGAAUGCCGGUAAGUGAGAGUGUAGCAGUGAGACAGUGGGGGAUAAGCUUCAUUGUCGAGAGGGAAACAGCCCAGACCAUCAACUAAGGCCCCUAAGCGUGUGCUAAGUGGGAAAGGAUGUGGAGUUGCUGAGACAACCAGGAGGUUGGCUUAGAAGCAGCCAUCCUUGAAAGAGUGCGUAAUAGCUCACUGGUCAAGUGAUUCUGCGCCGAUAAUGUAGCGGGGCUCAAGUACACCGCCGAAGUUGUGGCAAUCAGUCUUUGUGGCUGGUUGGGUAGGGGAGCGUCCUGCACGAGGUGAAGCUGCCACGGGAGUGUGUGGUGGAUUGUGUGGGAGUGAGAAUGCAGGCAUGAGUAGCGAAUCACGGGUGAGAAACCCGUGCGCCGGAUGAUCAAGGGUUCCAGGGUCAAGUUAAUCUGCCCUGGGUUAGUCGGGGCCUAAGGCGAGGCCGACAGGCGUAGUCGAUGGAGAACGGGUUGAUAUUCCCGUACCAGUGAAGGACCGUCCAUACUGAUAUUGUGAUGCUAACCAUGCCGAUCACGGUGUCAUGAAGUUUUUCUUUGUGGUGUUGUGGGGUGUGUGGGACCCAAGCUUUGGAGGUAAGCGUGUUAACAGGUGUGACGCAGGAAGGUAGCCAAGCCACGCGGUGGUUGUCGUGGUCUAAGCGUGUAGGAUGACUGGUUGUUAAAUGCGCCGGUUGUGUGUCUGAGACGUGAUGGGACCCCUUGUUUGUGGGGGAUUUGGUGAUCCUAUGCUGCCGAGAAAAGCAUCGGCGUGAGGUUUUAGCUGCCCGUACCCGAAACCGACACAGGUGAUCAGGUAGAGAAUACUAAGGCGAUCGAGAGAAUCAUGGUUAAGGAACUCGGCAAAAUGCCCCCGUAACUUCGGGAGAAGGGGGGCCCUGAGCGUGAUCUGCCCGUGCGGUGGGGAGCGUGUAGGGGUCGCAGAGACCAGGGGGAAGCGACUGUUUAUCAAAAACACAGGUCCGUGCGAAGUCGUAAGACGAGGUAUACGGACUGACUCCUGCCCGGUGCUGGAAGGUUAAGAGGAGUGGUUAGCCCUUUUGGGGGCGAAGCUGCGAAUUUAAGCCCCAGUAAACGGCGGUGGUAACUAUAACCAUCCUAAGGUAGCGAAAUUCCUUGUCGGGUAAGUUCCGACCUGCACGAAUGGAGUAACGACUUCCCUACUGUCUCAACCAUGAACUCGGUGAAAUUGCAGUACGAGUAAAGAUGCUCGUUUCGCGCAGCAGGACGGAAAGACCCCGUGACCUUUACUAUAGUUUGGUAUUGGUGUUUGGGUUGGCUUGUGUAGGAUAGGUGGGAGACUGUGAAGCCGCUACGCUAGUGGUGGUGGAGUCGUUGUUGAAAUACCACUCUGGUCAAUCUGAGCGUCUAACUUCGGGCCAUGAUCUGGUUCAGGGACAGUGCCUGAUGGGUAGUUUAACUGGGGCGGUUGCCUCCUAAAGUGUAACGGAGGCGCCCAAAGGUUCCCUCAGCCUGGUUGGCAAUCAGGUGUUGAGUGUAAGUGCACAAGGGAGCUUGACUGUGAGAGUGGCGACUCGAGCAGGGACGAAAGUCGGGACUAGUGAUCCGGCAGUGGCUUGUGGAAGCGCUGUCGCUCAACGGAUAAAAGGUACCUCGGGGAUAACAGGCUGAUCUUGCCCAAGAGUCCAUAUCGACGGCAUGGUUUGGCACCUCGAUGUCGGCUCGUCGCAUCCUGGGGCUGGAGUAGGUCCCAAGGGUUGGGCUGUUCGCCCAUUAAAGCGGUACGCGAGCUGGGUUCAGAACGUCGUGAGACAGUUCGGUCCCUAUCCGCUGCGCGCGUUGGAGAAUUGAGAAAGGCUGUCCUUAGUACGAGAGGACCGGGACGGACGAACCUCUGGUAUGUCAGUUGUACCGCCAGGUGCAUGGCUGAUUGGCUACGUUCGGGAGGGAUAACCGCUGA